GACCUGGCUGGGUGGUCUUGCCGCAAGGUAAGUACUGCACUGGUCGGGUCUUUCCUUCUGGGGAACCAGCGUGCUCUUAACUGGGUGCGCUGGGGAUCCAGGACUUUUACUUUGAAAAAAUUAGAGUGUUUAAAGCAGGCAUUCGCUUGAAUACAUUAGCAUGGAAUAAUAAAAUAGGAC
rnacentral:rRNA from 1 species